rnacentral:rRNA from 1 species
GACGAACGCUGGCGGCGUGCUUAACACAUGCAAGUCGAACGGAAAGGCCCUGCUUUUGUGGGGUUCUCGAGUGGCGAACGGGUGAGUAACACGUGAGUAACCUGCCCUUGACUUUGGGAUAACUUCAGGAAACUGGGGCUAAUACCGGAUAGGAGCUCCUGCUGCAUGGUGGGGGUUGGAAAGUUUCGGCGGUUGGGGAUGGACUCGCGGCUUAUCAGCUUGUUGGUGGGGUAGUGGCUUACCAAGGCUUUGACGGGUAGCCGGCCUGAGAGGGUGACCGGCCACAUUGGGACUGAGGUACGGCCCAGACUCCAACGGGAGGCAGCAGUGGGAAAUAUUGCACAAUGGGCGGAAGCCUGAUGCAGCAACGCCGCGUGCGGGAUGACGGCCUUCGGGUUGUAAACCGCUUUCGCCUGUGACGAAGCGUGAGUGACGGUAAUGGGUAAAGAGGCACCGGCUAACUACGUG